UUUCUUGACCCAACUCGGCCUGGUAAGUCGAAAUAAGUGAUCGGAUGGGCGAUCGCCGACUCUUCUUCCUCGCGGUCGCACCGGCGACCCCGCCGUGCGUGAGCCGAUCCCUUCGCCGCUUAGGAGGAUUACAGCUUGCUGCCAAUGGCUACAAUACAGCAUUUCUUUGGGAUCUCCUUAACAAAUCUUCUUAAUGUUGAUCAUUGCCCCUUACCAAACAACCAGGACCGAAGGAUCUCACAGAUAUUGCCAGGAAUGCUGGUAGACUGGCAGGAUGAGCAAUUGCAUAUGUUCAAUUAGUUUGUAGGCAGUUGUUUUUAACAGAUGUGCCACCAUCUCAGGCUAGCAAGGUGCACAAAGAACUACAAGAUAGCAUUUCUUUAUUAGAAGCAAGGUUUUUAUGGAAGACAAAGCAUAUCAAUAGUGAACCUAGGUCUAUUUCCUCCGAGGAUGGAUGGACCAGAACAAAUGCAGAGCACUGGAUCUAAGCAGAGCAAAUUCAGUUUCUUAUGGUUUCCACAACCAGUCAAUGAGAUAUUCCAGGCUAGCUGAUGCUUCACUGUCCAGUCAGGUCCUUGUGAAAUUCAUGAAGAUGUGAUGGAACAUGAUGCUGAAGGUGACAUGCUGACUGUUCUUCCUGUGUCUGCUGAAACAGCAGGAUCACUUCCAAAGCAUGUCGGUAAACAUCCCUAGUCGCUGAUCGGAGCUGUGUGGAAAAUUAGGAUUCUCUCUGGCUGUGGGACAAAUAGGACAAUGAUAUGAUUGCUUUGCCGUGUGUUAGUGGGUCUUCUGGUGGCUUACUGUCAUGGUUGCCGUGUGUUGGCCCUUGAUGAUAUAGAUAUAUUUUCCUAUAUUUAUUGUACUGUACUUAUUGUUUCCACUCUGUCAUGGUUUUUUAACUACCUCUUUUACUGCAUGGUUUAUUUUCCUAUGUAUCUUUCGCUGUUUGCAACUUUAGUAGCUAUGAAUGAGUCUGGCUCUCCAAUCUCACUAUUGGAUAUUUUCGACA